UACAGAGGGUGCAAGCGUUACUCGGAAUUACUGGGCGUAAAGCGUGCGUAGACGGUCCUGUAAGUCGGGUGUGAAAGCCCCGGGCUCAACCUGGGAAUUGCAUUCGAGACUGCAUGGCUAGGAUGCGGAAGAGGGAAGCGGAAUUUCCGGUGUAGCGGUGAAAUGCGUAGAUAUCGGAAGGAACACCAGUGGCGAAAGCGGCGGCCUGGUCCAGCACCGACGUUCAGGCACGAAAGCGUGGGGAGCAAACAGG
rnacentral:rRNA from 1 species